rnacentral:rRNA from 1 species
GACGAACGCUGGCGGCAUGCCUAAUACAUGCAAGUCGACCUUAGUGGCGAACGGGUGAGUAACACGUGGGUAAGCUGCCCCUCAGAAUGGGGUAACCCUUGGAAACAGGUGCUAAUACCGUAUACUGAUGGAUGGGCCCGCGUUGCAUUAGCUAGUUGGUGAGGUAACGGCUCACCAAGGGCACGAUGCAUAGCCGACCUGAGAGGGUGAUAGGCCACAUUGGGACUGAGACACGGCCCAAACUCCUACGGGAGGCAGCAGUAGGGAAUCUUCGGCAAGGGACGAAAGCCUGACCGAGCAAAGCCGCGUGAGUGAAGAAGGGUUUCGGAUCGGAAAACUCGGUUGUUAGAGAAGCGGUAUCUAACCAGAAAGCCACGGCUAACUACGUGCCAGCAGCCGCGGUAAUAC